UAUAAAUUAGUGGCAGACGGGUGAGUAAUGUAUAGGAAUCUACCUAGUAGUACGGAAUAAUUGUUGGAAACGACAACUAAUACCGUAUACGCCCUACGGGGGAAAAAUUUAUUGCUAUUAGAUGAGCCUAUAUUAGAUUAGCUAGUUGGUGGGGUAAUAGCCUACCAAGGUAAUGAUCUAUAGCUGAUCUGAGAGGAUGAUCAGCCACACUGGAACUGAGAUACGGUCCAGACUCCUACGGGAGGCAGCAGUGGGGAAUAUUGGACAAUGGGCGAAAGCCUGAUCCAGCCAUGCCGCAGAGUGAAGAAGGCCUUUGGGUUGUAAAGCUCUUUUAGUGAGGAAGAUAAUGACGGUACUCACAGAAGAAGUCCUGGCUAACUCCGUGCCAGCAGCCGCGGUAAUACGGAGAGGGCUAGCGUUAUUCGGAAUUAUUGGGCGUAAAGGGCGCGUAGGCUGGUUAAUAAGUUAAAAGUGAAAUCCCGAGGCUUAACCUUGGAAUUGCUUUUAAAACUAUAAUCUAGAGAUUGAAAGAGGAUAGGGGAAUUCCUGAUGUAGAGGUAAAAUUCGUAAAUAUUAGGAGGAACACCAGUGGCGAAGGCGUCUAUCUGGUUCAAAUCUGACGCUGAAGCGCGAAGGCGUGGGGAGCAAACAGGAUUAGAUACCCUGGUAGUCCACGCUGUAAACGAUGAAUGUUAAAUAUGGGGAGUUUACUUUCUGUAUUACAGCUAACGCGUUAAACAUUCCGCCUGGGGACUACGGUCGCAAGAUUAAAACUCAAAGGAAUUGACGGGGACCCGCACAAGCGGUGGAGCAUGUGGUUAAUUCGAUGCAACGC
rnacentral:rRNA from 1 species